CACAAAGUAGCCGAAGAUGCUGACAAACCCAAUCCAGCCCGCACUACGGCAACAAAAAACCCGACGCCUCUGCUGCUGAGCUGAAACUGCUAAUUUCUGGGACCAGCCUUUUUUUUGGGCUCUGAACGGGGGAUGGAUGAAUGGCUUGUCUCGCACAAAUGACAAAAAGCCCCCCUCUGCCUUAAUCUCCAUCGCCAAAAUAACCCCAUCUUUUUCUCCUUUUGCUUAGUCCUUCAAAAGAACGAACAAGGGACUUUGGGCAAACUUGUCUUGUGGUCUUGAGUGAGCAUCAUGGACAUGACAUGGAAUGCAAAUCAAUGUAAUGCUGGUAAAUAUAUAUAUACAUAUAGUGUAAUGAGCCAAAUAAAUUCGUAUAGCUCUUUA